UUUGGAGAAUGGGUUGACCUCCUCCUCUCUGUGACAGUCCCUCAAAUAUUGGAACAACGGCUUUUGGACUAGAAAACCAAUGGCAAUUGAUUGGGUGAAGAGAGAGAUGUUUUGAUUGAAAUAAGGAGUGAUGGAGAAACUUAAUUUAAAAGGAAAACAUUUCACGGCUUAUUGGGAUUGUCUUCCGCUAGCAGCUACAGACAGAAAUUGGAGACUUUACAGCAGGGGAAAGCUACGACGAUAAAAAUGUUCUGCUCCUACGGCAGAUCCCAUAUGACAACUUUGCAGAUCCCGGGAUCACGUGAUCACCCUCUGCAACCUUCCCAGCCAGAUUCCAACAAGCAAAGUCAAGGGAAGAAGCUUAAGGGCGGCGCGACCCCCUUAACAAAGACAGCGAUUCGCUUAAGAACAAUGGCAAAACAGCCUGCAAAAUAGGCAAGGUUCAUGGGUUGACUCCCUUAAUGGCUGCAUUGCUUAGAAGUUCUGCUUGCUCCCAGAUGGGGUCAUAAGGCAGGGACCCCCUUUAUUUUUGUGUCAAAUCGGGGUCAAGAAUUGGGUGCGAAUUGAACCUGGCUGUUCA